CCCACACACCCCACCAACCCCACAAUUCUCAAAAUAUGCCCUGUAGGCAAGAACAACACCAGACCCACUCCCAACACCACUGGCCAGCAUAUCGCUUAGUUCAGGACUUUAGAGCCCUGAAUAGUUUAAUUGUGCCCAUUUCACCCAUUGUCCCUGAUGUGACAUCCCUCAUUACAGCCAUUCCACAUGAUGCCACUUGCUUCACUGUCAUUGAUUUAAGUAAUGCAUUUUUUCUAUACCUAUUGAUCAAGAGACACAGCUACUUAUGGUUUUUACUUUUUGAAGGCUGUCAGUUUACCUGGACACGCUUACCCAAGGCUAUGUGGAUUCCCCAGCUGUUUAUUCGCUGGUACUCCAACAUACUCUAAAAAACAUGGACCACCGGUCAUGGUUCCGUCCUUUUUGCAAAAUGUUGAUGAUUUGUUGUUAUGUAACCCUAGCUAUGAGGCAAGCACUGUGGAUACUUUCAGCAACUGUAGGUCACAAGGUUGUUAAACACAAAAUGCAAUUGUGUAAAUCAAAGGUUGAAUACUUAGGUUUUGUUCUGGCUUUAGGCACCAGACAAUUGAGUCCAAAACGUAUUGAGGUCAUUCAGAGGAUUCCUACACCCACUACUCGGAAGGAGUUGCUCACCUUCCUCGGCAUGAUUAAUUACUGCCACCAAUGGAUCCCUGAAUGCUCCCAUUAUGACUCA
rnacentral:lncRNA from 1 species